GAUGAGACUUUAACAGAACCCUUCGGGGCGAAGAUAGAGCGGAUUAGCGGCGGACGGGUGAGUAACACGUGAGUAACCUGCCUUAGACAUUGGGAUAGCCUCGGGAAACCGGGAUUAAUACCAAAUAAAAUCAUAAUGACACAUGUCAUAACGAUCAAAACUCCGGUGGACUAAGAUGGACUCGCGUCCCAUUAGCUAGUUGGUAGAGUAAAAGCCUACCAAGGCGACGAUGGGUAGCCGGCCUGAGAGGGUGAACGGCCACAUUGGAACUGAGAAACGGUCCAAACUCCUACGGGAGGCAGCAGUGGGGAAUAUUGCACAAUGGAGGGAACUCUGAUGCAGCGACGCCGCGUGAACGAAGAAGGCUUUCGAGUCGUAAAGUUCUUUUAUAUGGGAAGAUAAUGACGGUACCAUAAGAAAAAGCCCCGGCUAACUACGUGCCAGCAGCCGCGGUAAUACGUAGGGGGCUAGCGUUGUCCGGAAUCACUGGGCGUAAAGGGUUCGCAGGCGGAAAUGCAAGUCAGAUGUAAAAGGCAGUAGCUUAACUACUGUAAGCAUUUGAAACUGCAUAUCUUGAGAAGAGUAGAGGUAAGUGGAAUUUUUAGUGUAGCGGUGAAAUGCGUAGAUAUUAAAAAGAAUACCGGUGGCGAAGGCGACUUACUGGGCUCAUUCUGA
rnacentral:rRNA from 2 species